AUUGAACGCUGGCGGCAGGCUUAUCACAUGCAAGUCGAGCGGGGUGAUGGUGCUUGCACUAUCACUUAGCGGCGGACGGGUGAGUAAUGCUUAGGAAUCUGCCUAUUAGUGGGGGACAACAUCUCGAAAGGGAUGCUAAUACCGCAUACGUCCUACGAGAGAAAGCAGGGGAUCACUUGUGACCUUGCGCUAAUAGAUGAGCCUAAGUCGGAUUAGCUAGUGGGUGGGGUAAAGGCCUACCAAGGCGACGAUCAGUAGCGGGUCUGAGAGGAUGAUCCGCCACACUGGGACUGAGACACGGCCCAGACUCCUACGGGAGGCAGCAGUGGGGAAUAUUGGACAAUGGGGGGAACCCUGAUCCAGCCAUGCCGCGUGUGUGAAGAAGGCCUUAUGGUUGUAAAGCACUUUAAGCGAGGAGGAGGCUCUUUUGGUUAAUACCCAAGAUGAGUGGACGUUACUCGCAGAAUAAGCACCGGCUAACUCUGUGCCAGCCGCCGCCGUAA
rnacentral:rRNA from 1 species